rnacentral:rRNA from 1 species
UACGGAGGGUGCAAGCGUUAUCCGGAUUCACUGGGUUUAAAGGGUGCGCAGGCGGUUUUGUAAGCCAGAUGUGAAAUCCCCGGGCUUAACCUGGGAAUGGCAUUUGGGACUGCAAGGCUGGAGUUUGGCAGAGGAGACUGGAAUUCCUGGUGUAGCAGUGAAAUGCGUAGAUAUCAGGAGGAAUACCGAUGGCGAAGGCAGGUCUCUGGGCUAUAACUGACGCUCAUGCACGAAAGCGUGGGGAGCAAACAGG